GCGGCAGUGGCGGAAUUGGUAGACGCGCCAGGCUUAGAACCUGGUGAGGUAACUCGUGGGGGUUCAAAUCCCUUCUGCCGCA
rnacentral:tRNA from 4 species